UUGACUUUCCUUGCUAUAGAUCAUGCUGUUCAAUUCAUGCCGUGUCCAGUGAGUCUUUUUGUUUCAUGUCUAUAGUCCUUGCUAUUUGUUUCAAUCCACAGUUUAGCAAGUUUUUUUCUGUCGUGAAGGGGGGGUUCUCCCAAGAUGAAAUUGGACUAUACUAGACACGGCUUGAAGCGUAUGGAAGGAUUGGCUCUACAGUAACUGCUGUGUGGCCACUAUGGACCUGAGGAUGUGCUUACCUGUGCCCGCCUGUCAUCUCCAAUCAGCCUUUUGAUCCAGGGGCGCUCGUGUUGUGUUUGGCAGCUGGUGUCAUGUUGUGGACAGGCGGCCCAGGAAGAGGACGGACACCCAUGCUGCUUUGCAAUCUGAGCAGGAUUUCCAUGUGACCACACACGUUAACCCGGGAUUACUUGACAUCUUUGUGGUCGUGUUCAGCUUUUCAAAGACACGUCACCGACCCACUCUCGCCAUGCUUUUGAAGGCCAGUCAGGCGGAAUAAUCCAUAUUCCUGCGGUAAAGUAAGGACAAGCGCACUAAAGAUGACGCAUGGAGUCAAAUACAACUGGGAUAUGCUUAAAUAACCUAAUUUGUCUAAGACAGGGGUAUCAAACGUACGGCCCAAGGGCCGGAUCAGGCCCGCAAACAAUUUUAUCCGGCCCGCAGGAUGAGUUUGCUAAGUAAGAAAAUUAACCUGAAAUUUUUUAAUGAAAGAAACAGCUGUUCUAAAUGUGUCCACUGAAUGUCGCAAUAGCAAUUCUUUGUAUCUUUAUAGAUGAUGCUACAUAUGUACAAAAUAAACCACAUGAUGUUAGUACAUCAGUCGAGGAAAAUUA